GACGAACGCUGGCGGCGUGCUUAACACAUGCAAGUCGUAACGGCAAAGGCCCUGCUUUUGUGGGGUGCUCGAGUGGCGAACGGGUGAGUAACACGUGAGUAACCUGCCCUUGACUUUGGGAUAACUUCAGGAAACUGGGGCUAAUACCGGAUAGGAGCUCCUGCUGCAUGGUGGGGGUUGGAAAGUUUCGGCGGUUGGGGAUGGACUCGCGGCUUAUCAGCUUGUUGGUGGGGUAGUGGCUUACCAAGGCUUUGACGGGUAGCCGGCCUGAGAGGGUGACCGGCCACAUUGGGACCGAGAUACGGCCCAGACUCCUACGGGAGGCAGCAGUGGGGAAUAUUGCACAAUGGGCGGAAGCCUGAUGCAGCAACGCCGCGUGCGGGAUGACGGCCUUCGGGUUGUAAACCGCUUUCGCCUGUGACGAAGCGUGAGUGACGGUAAUGGGUAAAGAAGCACCGGCUAACUACGUGCCAGCAGCCGCGGUGAUACGUAGGGUGCGAGCGUUGUCCGGAUUUAUUGGGCGUAAAGGGCUCGUAGGUGGUUGAUCGCGUCGGAAGUGUAAUCUUGGGGCUUAACCCUGAGCGUGCUUUCGAUACGGGUUGACUUGAGGAAGGUAGGGGGAGAAUGGAAUUCCUGGUGGAGCGGUGGAAUGCGCAGAUAUCAGGAGGAACACCAGUGGGCGAAGGCGGUUCUCUG
rnacentral:rRNA from 1 species